rnacentral:lncRNA from 1 species
UUCCCACCUCACCUCGAUCUCUUCUUCCACGCUCGAGGCCUACCACACAUCACCCUGGAUCUGUCGAUCCCGCGGCCAUAGUGCUCCCCGGCGCUUGGGGGGAUGUCCAUGAGCUUCACCGCCGCCAUCUCCUUCGCCUACAUGCAUCGAAUCGAGCAGGGAGGCCCAGUACGCUCGUCACCGCGUCGUCUUCCUCACCUUCGGCCGCCGCACUGCAUCACCGUCUUCCUGCACUCCGGCCCUCCCUGACUCUUUCCGACCACGGCCGCAACAUCUCUGUGAGGCCCCGUUGAUUCCCUCCUUCCUUCCCCCCUUUUUUGUUUCUGUCGUUGUAGCCACCGUGGUCGAUGCCCGUCAUGGCCACGCCCUAAGGCCGUGUUGCUCGCGUCCUCUGUUCUCUGCACGCGCCCAUAGUCGCGUCCCCACGAGGUCCGCGCCCUCCUACUCCGCCUAGCGCUCGCCGGAUUCGCUUGCCGUGCCCGGCCAACCCCGCGGUGCCCCGCCCGUGCGGCCCGCUCUGGCGCCCACCCACACGUCCCCGCCACCGCCUACACGCCACCCUGCCAACCGAGUCUGGCCGCUCUGGACUCGCCCCCCCUCCCGCGCUGGCCGCCGCUCUCCGGCCGACGGGUGCUGCUGCCGACCGUUACCAGGCGCGGCCAUGGCCGUGUGUCCCUGUCGCGCGGGCGUGCAUGCCCCUGGCCUGCUCGCCAACUGCCGCCGACCACGCCGCAUUGCUGCUUCGGCCGCCGCCGCCGCCUCCGGCUUGCUUGCUCUGCCCGCCCGCGUAGCCCUGGGCCCGUGUGUCGCCUCGCCGCAGCCGAACGCGCUUGCCCGCUACUGCGUUGCUUCUGCCUGCAACCGCUGCCGCUAGCUGCUCAUGCUGCUACGUUGCUCGAUGCCUGUUGCUACAGUAACAUUCAGUUACUGUAGCAGUAGCUAGCUUUGUACUGCUACUGCUUACUGACUAGCCCUUUUUGCUUCAACAAAACAGACAACAAAUCACUUCGAAAAUAAAUAAAAAUGGUGGGAAUAGUUUGUACAUUUGACCAACUCCAUUUCAUCUCACUGGAACAAGUCCAUUAGGUGCAUGGUUUAAUUCCUACAAAAAUGACAAAAGUGCAUAUUCUGUUAAGAGAGAAAAUUGUAGAAACAGAUUACUAACUAAGCUAGUUUCGGCUAUAUUUGGACUAGCUAUGUGCACUGUUCAUGCCAUCAGAUGGCAUGGAUUGGUAGUACUCUUGAAGUAGAGUAAAUCGUUUAUAGGAAUCAUCCCCAUUAGAGCUAUGAAUAACCCAUUCUAGCCCUCACAAAUUGGCUAGUCAAUAAAUAGAUUCUAAGACUUGGUAGAAUUUCAAAAAAUUUAGAAAACUUUUAGAACUUUGAAACUUCAUAGAAAUUAAAUAGUAACUCCGAUGAAAAUGUUUACUACAUGAAAGUUGCUCAGAAAAACGUGACGAACCCGAUUACGCUAUCCACAUACCUGUCAGAUUCCUCCAGCACUGCAAACAUGGAACCUUCCCCUUCGGUUCAUCUGUCUGAUAGAUGUCUGAAAUCGGGAAAACCUUCCGGUUAAUUUCCCGCUUCGUCCGCAACGUGUAGCAUUGUGUUAGGUCACCCCCAACGCAACAUUUUGCUUUGUCAUGCUUUGUAAUGCAUUGUUUGCUCUGUUAUUUAUUAUGUUCCCCCUUCGUUACUUCUUUACGGUAGAUCCCAAGACCGUUGUUGAUCCGAUGAUCGACUACUUCACCAUCGAGG